AGCAUCCUAAUGAUGAGGAAGAGGUGGAGGGAAUUGAUCUGCACCAGCAACGUUACCCGUGGGAGGGAAGUGACAUGGAUUACUUAUAUGACGAGCUUUAACAUGCCAAAAUCACAAUGCAGUGGGUGUUGUAAGGUAAUUCAGUAGACACAAAUGUUCAGUUGAAAAAAAUUCUAAACUGUAUUUAUGCAUCAAACUUAUCAUCCGUAACAUAAUAAUAUGUUUUUUCUGUGCUAGGAACCGUUUGUAAAUAAAUGUCUCAGAUGUAUAUGACUGCUUAGUUUAUUGCUUUUGACAGUGAAAUCACUAAGCUUGCAAUGUGUCAGGACAGCAAAAGCAUCUCAGCUGAUGGUUAGCUUUACAAUUUCGUUGGUUUCUUUUUCCUAUUAUGUUGGAUGAAUUAUUUUAGCUAACAAAUAUCGCAACAGAGUGCUGGCAAUAACUCUAAUAGAUUUAUAUAUACAUUUAGAAUUGGAAGUUUGGUGAGAACAGGAACAAGUACUUCUGUCACGCUAUUGGACAGUUAUACGCUAUUUCAAGAGAAUUGAUUUCUUAUAUUUCCCAUAAUCAAUAAGAUUUUAACUGUUUUGUCUACUUUGCAUUCAUACCUCAUUCUCCAUCUAACUUCUCGGUGCUACUAUAUAAUGAUUAAGUCAUUUUCUGCACAAAUAUGCAAGUGGGGAUGUUACGUUGGGUGCUUGGUUUAUUGGGUUUGGCUAUACAAAGUCUGUUGUGACUCUAAAACUUUUACCUCAUUUAAAAUUGAUUCUGGUUCUUGGGAGAAUUGCAGAUUGUGAAUGAAAGGCACAAGCAGGGAACAUAUGUGUAGCUGCGUUCGACUCGACAUGUAGUGGUAUAUGCAGAUCCGCUGAUCCCAUUGUGGAGGUUAACAUGCAAUGUGUUGACCUGGAAAUCAUUAUUUGGAAGCUACAUUUCGAGGCAUUUCCUCAACAUAUAAAUAGACCAUAGACAGAGUUUGAUAUUUAUAAUACUGAUAUUUAUAAUACUCAGUGAUCAUGGAGUCUGCAGAAAAGAGUCCUUUUGCAUAUUCUAUAUGGAACCAAGAGAUAUGUCCUUUGUUUGAUGAUUGUAUUAUGAUAGCUACUAACAUAGGAGAUGACUAGAGAAAGAGAAAUGAGUAUGAAACU